rnacentral:rRNA from 1 species
GCCAAGUCGAGCGGACCGACGGGAGCUUGCUCCCUUAGGUCAGCGGCGGACGGGUGAGUAACACGUGGGUAACCUGCCUGUAAGACUGGGAUAACUCCGGGAAACCGGGGCUAAUACCGGAUGCUUGAUUGAACCGCAUGGUUCAAUCAUAAAAGGUGGCUUUUAACUUCCACUUACCGAUGGACCCGCGGCGCAAUAACUUGUUUGUGAGGUAACGGCUCACCAAGGCGACCAUUCGUAACCCACCUGAAAGGGUGAUCGGCCACACUGGGACUGAAACACGGCCCAAACUCCUACCGGAGGCAGCAAUAGGGAAUCUUCCCCAAUGGACGAAAGUCUGACCGAACAACCCCCCGGGAGUGAUGAAAGUUUUCCGAUCCUAAAACUCUUUUGUUAGGGAAAAACAAGUACCGUUCGAAUAAGGCGGCACCUUGACCGUUCCUAACCCGAAAGCCACGGCUAAAUACCUGCC